UACGGAGGGUGCGAGCGUUGUCCGGAAUCAUUGGGCGUAAAGGGCGCGUAGGUGGCCCGGUCAGUCCGUGGUGAAAGCGCGGGGCUCAACCCCGCGUCGGCCAUGGAUACUGCUGGGCUGGAGCACUGUAGAGGCAGGCGGAAUUCCGGGUGUAGCGGUGGAAUGCGUAGAGAUCCGGAAGAACACCGGUGGCGAAGGCGGCCUGCUGGGCCAGUUGCUGGACACUGAGGCGCGACAGCGUGGGGAGCAAACAGG
rnacentral:rRNA from 1 species